rnacentral:snRNA from 1 species
AUACCUAAUGGCAGGGCAGACACUAUGAUCAAAAGUUGGUUUUUCUCAACCCAAUGGCUAUCCAUUGCCCUCCAGAUGUGAUAACUCUGUAAUUUUCCCAAACGUGGGCAACAUGACAGCAUAAUUUGUGGUAGGGGGAGACUGUGAUCACAUUCUCCCC